UGCUGACGCUGGUAAUGAUCGAAUGUGUUCUUUCAUUUCUCGGUAUCGUGAGAUUUAAAAAUUAACGUUGACCGUGACCACUUCAUUCUAAAGCGAGGUCACGGGUCACGAAACUUCGUAAGGUGCUUGGUCUAUUCAUAUAUCUCGUCUGUGACGAAACAUAGGACUCUCAAAGACGAUGGACACAAAAAAGGAUUAGUUGGCCGAUCUAUCCUAAUUGACUAAGAUAUAAUACCAAUGACUAACUGCAGGUGCUGCCUCCGUGUGAGCAAAGUAUAAUCAUACUAGAUCCCGAACGUUUGACAAUUUGAAGUGACAGUAGAAAUUUGUGAAAUACAAACGGAAUUUAAUGUUUUGUCAAACUAAACAUCGACCUCGAAUAAGACUCGGAUGUAUAUACUCUUCUUAACGAAUGAAGUCAGCAGACAAACAAAUUUUCUGCCACAUCAGCGAAGAGAACUGUCGUUCGAACGAAUCAACCACUAACGUAAAUUUAAUUUUUUUCUAUUUUUAAUAAUUGUGCAUUGCUUGUGUUAUAUAUACUUCUUAUCUAUGAUGUAAAAUGUUAUAUUACUUAUUGAUAAACUGACGAUACACAACACAUCAUCUAUGUGUAUCUUCCACUAUGUUAACUAAUAAUAAUAUUAUUAAAGAGAAAGAAAAGAGGGUAAAUUGAAGGGAAUAGCGAAACAACUUUCAGGAGAUACUGUUUGCCACGUUAUAAUAAUUUAUUUAAACAUUUAUACACCUAUGAUGUUCCACAGUCUUGAAAGUAGUUGCUAACCGAUAUAUAUAUAUAUAUGUAUAUGUAUGUAAGUAUAUACAUCCACAUACACACAU